GUCAUUGAGACACAGAAUGUUUGCUAGGAGGUGAAACAUUGCAUCCCGCAGUGAAGCCCUCUAAGCUCAGGAAGUAAACAACUUCAAUAGCUCCCAGAAGUCCCUGAAACUACAGCUCCAUCAGGCCGCUCCCUACCCAAGCCCUGUGAGCAGUGAGGCCUGCUGAAGGGUUAACUCUCAGACAAGACAAGCAGCCUGGAAGAGGCAGGGAUCAUCUGAACUGCCUGCAGGAAACAGAGACCAACCAACGCUCAGACCACCUGAGCCACCUGGAGAGAACCCUUUCCAGCCUUCCGAGCUGCCUGCAGAUAAUGCCGUGAACACCAGCUUUCAUGCUGGGUAGGCUUUGAGUCCUUUCGGCUCUGUAGUGCCUGAUGAUAAGGGGAGAAAUCUACAAGUUUAUCAUUCCAACUGAAUGUGCAGGUUUGUGUCCUCCAACCGUAGCCUGCCCCUUUCUUGGUGGUUUGAAGAUGAGGACAAGGUGAGCCUGGAUUCAUUCAGCAGGGGUGCCGUGAGCACCUAACCCUAACUGUCUCCCCCACGGCAAUGAGGAGCCGCAGCUUUGGGCCGCUCUCCUGGCUACGACUGUUGAUUCUAAACCACAUUCUUUUGUGGAAAACCUCUGGUUGUCACAGCAAUGCCUCACCAUUGUGUCACCCGGGUCAC